UAGAGUUUGAUCAUGGCUCAGAUUGAACGCUGGCGGCAGGCCUAACACAUGCAAGUCGGACGGUAGCACAGAGGAGCUUGCUCCUUGGGUGACGAGUGGCGGACGGGUGAGUAAUGUCUGGGGAUCUGCCCGAUAGAGGGGGAUAACCACUGGAAACGGUGGCUAAUACCGCAUAACGUCGCAAGACCAAAGAGGGGGACCUUCGGGCCUCUCACUAUCGGAUGAACCCAGAUGGGAUUAGCUAGUAGGUGGGGUAAUGGCCCACCUAGGCGACGAUCCCUAGCUGGUCUGAGAGGAUGACCAGCCACACUGGAACUGAGACACGGUCCAGACUCCUACGGGAGGCAGCAGUGGGGAAUAUCGCACAAUGGGCGCAAGCCUGAUGCAGCCAUGCCGCGUGUAUGAAGAAGGCCUUCGGGUUGUAAAGUACUUUCAGCGGGGAGGAAGGCGACGGGGUUAAUAACCCUGUCGAUUGACGUUACCCGCAGAAGAAGCACCGGCUAACUCCGUGCCAGCAGCCGCGGUAAUACGGAGGGUGCAAGCGUUAAUCGGAAUUACUGGGCGUAAAGCGCACGCAGGCGGUCUGUUAAGUCAGAUGUGAAAUCCCCGGGCUUAACCUGGGAACUGCAUUUGAAACUGGCAGGCUUGAGUCUUGUAGAGGGGGGUAGAAUUCCAGGUGUAGCGGUGAAAUGCGUAGAGAUCUGGAGGAAUACCGGUGGCGAAGGCGGCCCCCUGGACAAAGACUGACGCUCAGGUGCGAAAGCGUGGGGGAGCAAACAGGAUUAGAUACCCUGGUAGUCCACGCCGUAAACGAUGUCGACUUGUAGGUUGUUCCCUUGAGGAGUGCUUCCGGAGCUAACGCGUUAAGUCGACCGCCUGGGGAGUACGGCCGCAGGUUAAAACUCAAAUGAAUUGACGGGGGCCCGCACAAGCGG
rnacentral:rRNA from 1 species